GCAAUUCAACACAGAUGGGGAAAAAUAUUGAUGAGAUUAAGAUUUUGAUGUCUUCGAACUAGGUUUGGCAGUGGUGGUGAUUGCUAUUCAAGACUUAUUUGGGGUCCAAUGGUAAAAAGAAAAAAAGGGCUAUGGAAC
rnacentral:lncRNA from 11 species